UUGGAGGGCAAGUCUGGUGCCAGCAGCCGCGGUAAUUCCAGCUCCAAUAGCGUAUAUUAAAGUUGUUGCAGUUAAAAAGUUCGUAGUUGAAUUUCGAGACCGGUGGGUUGGUCGUGCCUCCGGUACGUACUGGCUUUACCGGUUUCUCCCUUCUGACGAACCAUGAUGCCAUUAAGUUGGUGUUGUGGGGAAUCAGGACUGUUACUGUGAACAAAUUAGAGUGUUUAAAGCAGGCUCACGCUUGAAUACAUUAGCAUGGAAUAAUGAAAUAGGACAUCCGAUUCUAUUUUGUUGGUUUCUAGGAUCGAUGUAAUGAUUAAUAGGGAUAGUUGGGGGCAUUAGUAUUCAAUUGUCAGAGGUGAAAUUCUUGGAUUUAUUGAAGACUAACUACUGCGAAAGCAUUUGCCAAGGAUGUUUUCAUUAAUCAAGAACGAAAGUUAGGGGAUCGAAGACGAUCAGAUACCGUCGUAGUCUUAACCAUAAACUAUGCCGACUAGGGAUCGGAUGAUGUUAAUUUUUUAAUGACUCAUUCGGCGCCUUACGGGAAAC
rnacentral:rRNA from 1 species